CUUAGCAGUAUCUUCCUGGAAACCUGGUUGCCAGGAGACCAUUCUUGAAGAACAUCCACUGCUGUGGCCUCUUGGAAAUUUAGGACGUCUAAUGAGGAGCUGACAGACGUCAUCAAUUUGCUCCUGAGAAAGAAAAAGAAACAGGUUCAAAGGUGCAUGGACCUCUGCAGGGUUUCUACCCAAUCUAGAAAAUUGGAUCUCCACAUGAAGCAAGAAACAGGAGCUGAUUUUUUUCUCAACAUAUUUCUCCUCGAUAGCCAACGAUUCCAGAACACGAGAUGACCAGGUGAGCCUUUAGAGAAACAGCAAUCAGUUCAUAACAACUGCUGUGAGACAGAGAAGGAUGACAAAGAUAAAAUCCUAGGGCAAUAAAAUGACUGUAUAACAAACAAAUAAAAACAAAUACAGAACCCGUCCUGAGGAAGAACAAAUUCCGUGUGAAAAGUCUGUUACCAGGCAAACUGCUGGAAGAAAUGGCCAUAUUUUCCCUCAUGAACACAGAAUGGAUAUUCCCCUACAGUUGUGAUAUCUUCUUAAUUAUGUUAACACCAGACUUUUAGCCAGAACAGUUUUUAGAGUUCCACAAAGAUCAAUGCCAUAUAUCCAUCUUUAUUUUAGGGGUUUGGCAUACAAAGAGUUGUCUUAUGGGCCCGACAGACAUAAGCUCAAAGUCACCCCUAAAGAAAAGUUAUCUAUGAGAAGCCCUGAAGGUAAGGUCAGGGAAAACUUCACAAAUGAUAUGACAUCUACACACAGGCUGAAAGCAAUAGGAAUCUGCCAGUUAGACAAGGUGAAAAAAUAUUCCAGUGGAGGGCAUGACAUCUGCAAAGUCACAGAUGGGUGAAGUAGCUUAUAGUGAAUGGAAAGCAGCAAACAGCUUUGUUUGGCUGAAGCAAAUGUUGUGAUCUUGAAGCAGCAGGAGAUGUGGCUGAAAAUGCAGGCAGAAACAGGAUCAUUAGGGAAUCUUUAAGCCCACACAUAGAGAAGGAAUCCUAUAGCCUGACCUGUACUUUAAAAUGACACUUUCUGGACUAUUGUGCAAUGCGAAGCCCCAUAAAUGGCUGUGCGAGCUACACAAGCGAGAAAACGAGAGCUAAAUUCGAGGUUGUGUGGGGUUGUAGGAAAGGUGGGUUUUAGAAAAAGAACUCUUACAAAUUGCUAGCGUUUCUGACUUGAUCCACUGUGGUAAGGGGUAUUUUCUGAACUGAAGAAAGGAAUAUAAUGGGCACAAAUUCUGGAGUAAGUAAAGACAAGUAAGUGAAAAUGAUUUUAUUCUUUGAAGAUGCUGAACCAAAGCUUUCUUUUGGGUGUUGAGGUGGAAAUAACAAAGUAAACUAUUUGUGAGAUCAAUGUAUGCACUCUGUCAUCACCUAGGAUAGAUACUGUUAUUGUACAUAAUAGUUUCAUAUGCUAUGAAACUAUAGCCAGCUAUUUGUGAUUUACACUGGAGGGUCUUGAGAAUAAAGACUCUUGCAAAGAUCUCUUUAAGAGCUUGAUGGCAAGCAUUUGAAGUCAGGAAAUGGCAGUCUAGGGUACCAGGAACCUCAGAUAGAAGCCUGAUUAUUAUCAAUAUAAUGUAAACUCUGAGCUCAUACCACCAUCACUGUGGUUUGCUGAGAAUCACUCAUAGAUCAAAACAACACCUGAUCAAAGCCAGAAUUUUUAUAUUGCAACAAUACUAUCCAUUGUAAGUAAUUGUUCCGUGCCAUAAAUAUGCUUUUAGAAAACAAUUCUUUAAAAACAUAAAUCUAAUCAUGUCACUACAUUGCACCAUACUUCCCAGGGGUUUCCAGUUUUACUUAGACCAGGAACAAAGUUCCUAAAAAACUCACAUGUCCUUCCAUGAUAUGCCUCAUUCUCCUUAUCUCUCUGUCCUCAGUUCUCUUGGCUUUCCCCCCUCUCAAUCACAGAAUUUCGGCUCCUCUGGCCUAGU